UGAUCUGUCAGCAGCACUCGAUUCUCACACCACAGUCCUCUCUGGGAACAUUAUGAGUCACCGCUGUGCUGAUAAACAUUCAUGCCAGAGUCCUUAUAAAGGAUACCAGCACACUCUUCGUUACAUGGUCGCACACACAAGGAAAAUAAUUACUACGGAAGUCAAAGGUUACCAUCAGCUGUUCGGAUACCAACAUUUUUCAAAGGAUCUUCUUUUGUGUUCAACAGAAGAAAGAAACUCAUACAGGUUUGGAACAAGUUGAGGACCAUGAGCAGAAUGGCUAGGCAGCUGAUGACUGACAGGACGACAGCCAUAAUGACGAGCGCAGUGUGGGUCCGAUCAGUGCUGCUCUCGUCCCGAGAUGUCCCGAGAAGCUGGAUACCACAGCGCUCCCCAU